rnacentral:rRNA from 1 species
CCCCUUGCUCAAAUUUGAAAUCUUCAAGGGUUUCCCUUUACGAAUUGUAGUUUAAAGAAGUGUUUUCUGUUGAGGUUUUGGUAAAAGUUCUUUGGAAUAGGACAUCAUAGAGGGUGAGAAUCCCGUAUUUGACCUUUACUUUCAACUUUGUGAUACACUUUUAAAGAGUCGGAUUGUUUGGGAAUGCAGUCCAAAAUGGGUGGUAAAUUUCAUCUAAAGCUAAAUAUUGGCGAGAGACCGAUAGCGAACAAGUACCGUGAGGGAAAGAUGAAAAGAACUUUGAAAAGAGAGUUAAACAGUACGUGAAAUUGUCAAAAGGGAAGCGUUUGACACCAGUGUUGUUUUUCUGAAAAUCAAUUAAAGAACUGUUUAUGCUAAGCUGUUUAGACUUUAUCAGCUAUCUGUUUAGUUUUGAGCUUUUCUUUAAUGCACUUUUCAGUUAACAAG